UACAGAGGUCCCAAGCGUUGUUCGGAUUCAUUGGGCGUAAAGGGUGCGUAGGCGGCGCGGUAAGUCGGGUGUGAAAUCUCGGAGCUUAACUCCGAAACUGCAUUCGAUACUGCCGUGCUUGAGGACUGGAGAGGAGACUGGAAUUUACGGUGUAGCGGUGAAAUGCGCAGAUAUCAGGAGGAACACCGGUGGCGAAGGCGGGUCUCUGGGAAGUAACUGACGCUGAGAAGCGAAAGCAUGGGUAGCAAACAGG
rnacentral:rRNA from 1 species